rnacentral:rRNA from 1 species
AUACGUAGGGGGCGAGCGUUGUCCGGAAUGAUUGGGCGUAAAGGGCGCGUAGGCGGCUUUGCAAGUCAGUAGUGGAAGUCCAUUUUUCAAGGAUGGAAGUGCUACAGAAACUGCGGAGCUUGAGUGCAGGAGAGGUUAUCGGAAUUCCCGGUGUAGCGGUGAAAUGCGCAGAGAUCGGGAGGAGCACCAGUGGCGAAGGCGGCUUGCUGGGCUGUUACUGACGCUGAGGCACGAAAGCAUGGGUAGCAAACAGGAUUAGAUACCCUGGUAGUCCAUGCUGUAAACGAUGAUUACUAGGUGUGGGUGGACUGACCCCAUCCGUGCCGGAGUUAACACAUUAAGUAAUCCACCUGGGGAGUACGGCCGCAAGGUUGAAACUCAAAGGAAUUGACGGGG